rnacentral:rRNA from 1 species
AAAUUGAAGAGUUUGAUCAUGGCUCAGAUUGAACGCUGGCGGCAGGCCUAACACAUGCAAGUCGAACGGUAACAGGAAGCAGCUUGCUGCUUCGCUGACGAGUGGCGGACGGGUGAGUAAUGUCUGGGAAACUGCCUGAUGGAGGGGGAUAACUACUGGAAACGGUAGCUAAUACCGCAUAACGUUGCAAGACCAAAGAGGGGGACCUUCGGGCCUCUUGCCAUCGGAUGUGCCCAGAUGGGAUUAGCUUGUUGGUGGGGUAACGGCUCACCAAGGCGACGAUCCCUAGCUGGUCUGAGAGGAUGACCAGCCACACUGGAACUGAGACACGGUCCAGACUCCUACGGGAGGCAGCAGUGGGGAAUAUUGCACAAUGGGCGCAAGCCUGAUGCAGCCAUGCCGCGUGUAUGAAGAAGGCCUUCGGGUUGUAAAGUACUUUCAGCGGGGAGGAAGGGAGUAAAGUUAAUACCUUUGCUCAUUGACGUUACCCGCAGAAGAAGCACCGGCUAACUCCGUGCCAGCAGCCGCGGUAAUACGGAGGGUGCAAGCGUUAAUCGGAAUUACUGGGCGUAAAGCGCACGCAGGCGGUUUGUUAAGUCAGAUGUGAAAUCCCCGGGCUCAACCUGGGAACUGCAUCUGAUACUGGCAAGCUUGAGUCUCGUAGAGGGGGGUAGAAUUCCAGGUGUAGCGGUGAAAUGCGUAGAGAUCUGGAGGAAUACCGGUGGCGAAGGCGGCCCCCUGGACGAAGACUGACGCUCAGGUGCGAAAGCGUGGGGAGCAAACAGGAUUAGAUACCCUGGUAGUCCACGCCGUAAACGAUGUCGACUUGGAGGUUGUGCCCUUGAGGCGUGGCUUCCGGAGCUAACGCGUUAAGUCGACCGCCUGGGGAGUACGGCCGCAAGGUUAAAACUCAAAUGAAUUGACGGGGGCCCGCACAAGCGGUGGAGCAUGUGGUUUAAUUCGAUGCAACGCGAAGAACCUUACCUGGUCUUGACAUCCACAGAACUUUCCAGAGAUGGAUUGGUGCCUUCGGGAACUGUGAGACAGGUGCUGCAUGGCUGUCGUCAGCUCGUGUUGUGAAAUGUUGGGUUAAGUCCCGCAACGAGCGCAACCCUUAUCCUUUGUUGCCAGCGGUCCGGCCGGGAACUCAAAGGAGACUGCCAGUGAUAAACUGGAGGAAGGUGGGGAUGACGUCAAGUCAUCAUGGCCCUUACGACCAGGGCUACACACGUGCUACAAUGGCGCAUACAAAGAGAAGCGACCUCGCGAGAGCAAGCGGACCUCAUAAAGUGCGUCGUAGUCCGGAUUGGAGUCUGCAACUCGACUCCAUGAAGUCGGAAUCGCUAGUAAUCGUGGAUCAGAAUGCCACGGUGAAUACGUUCCCGGGCCUUGUACACACCGCCCGUCACACCAUGGGAGUGGGUUGCAAAAGAAGUAGGUAGCUUAACCUUCGGGAGGGCGCUUACCACUUUGUGAUUCAUGACUGGGGUGAAGUCGUAACAAGGUAACCGUAGGGGAACCUGCGGUUGGAUCACCUCCUUACCUUAAAGAAGC